rnacentral:rRNA from 1 species
UUCGCCUGUUUACAAAAACAUGUCUAUGUGAAGGUACACAUAGUUUAACCUGCUCACUGAAUUUUUUAAAGAGCCGCAGUAUUCUGACAUGUGCAAAGGUAGCAUAAUAGAUUGUCUUUUAAUUGGAGGCUUGAAUGAACGGUUGGACAAAGUAUUCUCUGUUUCUUAAAUAAAAAUUGAACUUUACUUUUAAGUGAAAAGGCUUAAAUGCUUCAAAAAGACGAUAAGACCCUAUAAAUCUUUACAAAACUUUUGUUUUAAAUUUCUGAUUAUAAGUAGAUGAAAUAUAAAAUAAAUCUUUGUUGCGCUGGGGCGGCGUAGAUAUAUAAAUAAACUGUUUGUAACAUUUAUACAAUAAUUAUUGAUUUACAUUAAUUGAUCCUUUAAUAGAUUAAAAGAUUAAGAUACUUUAGGGAUAACAGCGUUAUUUUUUCUGAGAGUUCCUAUCGAAGAAAAAGUUUGCGACCUCGAUGUUGAAUUAAAGUUUCUUUAUGGUGUAGCAGCUAUAUAAGAGAGUCUGUUCGACUUUUAAUACUUUACAUGAUUUGAGUUCAAACCGGCGUGAGCCAGGUUGUUUUCUAUCAG